rnacentral:rRNA from 2 species
GUGCUAAGGUAGCAUAAUCAUUUGCUACUUAAUUGGUAGCUGGGAUGAAAGGUUAAACUAGUUUACUCAGUUUGUUGUGUUUUGUAAGAAAUUAAAGUCGAGGUAAGAAUUCUUUGAUCUGCUAGGGGACGAUAAGACCCUAGAAGCUUAACAAUAAGAGUAUUUAUUAGUUAUAAAAAUUAAUUUGUUUUACUGGGGCGGUAAAGGUAUAUAAACUAUUAGUGUAUUGAUAGAUCCUUAAAAUAAAGAUAAAACGGGAAAGUUACUCUAGGGGUAACAGUGCAAUAUUUUUGGAGAGAUCAUAUCGAUAAAAAUGUUUGCAACCUCGAUGUUGAAUUAAGAUGUCUACGUGAAGCAGCAGGUACGUGAGAGGGUUUGUUCAACCUUUAAAUUUUUACAUGAUCUGAGUUCAAACCG